CCCAUUUGGGACGGCUUUCCCGUGCUGGGGGACACUUUGGGAAUAUGGGACUGUGCCCGAAAGGUGGGGGUGGAGACGCGGCUGUCAGCGGUGAAGGACACACUCCGCGCGGAGGGCAGGGGACAGAUUGACUGAGUGAAUAGCUCCCGGGGGGAAGGUCAGUACAAGGGAGAGGAACAUCCCCCCACAAGCUCGGCUUCCGCCCGCCCCAUCAGGAACUCAAGUUUGUGUGUUGUUUCUGAAGGACUCGGAAACUCAGGGCGACCUUGAGAAGAGUUGCCGGAGGACGUGGUGCAAACACAGCCAUCUUUCCACGGUUACCUGAGAUGGAAGGCGGAUUCCCAUUUAACACCACACCUGACAGUUUUCUGAUAAAGCACCCUCGGUCAAAACUCAGGACCCAGUGUUUGAGGAGAAAGGUGGCUGAGUCUUCUUCGCUAUUUGACCUGUCAACAACACCUCUCCAGUGGAAAUGAGCCAGUUACAAGUGCCCGAAUGGCCUGCACUUAUCCUUAUGUUCCCACCUGUUAAGGCUCUUGCAAUGCUGGAUUUUUCCUGCGGUUUGAGGAAGACUGAGCCGCUGGAGAAAGCCCUAGACCACCAGUGCUAUCGGUCAGGGUCAAGGCUAGACUUCCGGGAAGAUGCCCUAGACAGCUAGCACCUCUACUUGAGGCCAAGACUGAGUGGCUGGGGCAAGCCUGAGACACCAGAACCUCUUCCUGCCCCAGACAACGAGGGAUUGCGGCCACCACACACCCACAGAGGCAAAGUCUGGACAUCAGGAUAAUCCAGAGACUGCCAGCGUUGCCUCUUCAAGCUCAAAGCUGAGCUGCCAGGAAGAAACCUGUACCAUCGGCACUUGCUCGAGGCAAGGAGCAACUGCAGGAAGAAGCCUGAGAUCGCCACACCACCUCCUUCGAAGACCAGUACAGGACUAAGCUGCCGGGAGAAGCCUGAGAUGGCGAGCAUCAUCACAUAUGUGCUCUGAUGGUGAUGGACAGCGCCCCCAUGUGGUCCUGGACUUUCUUACCGCUGUAAAUAGAAUUAAUCACGUGAGUUUACCCUACUGCAAGUGUUGGUGUGGCCAAUGCCGAACCUGAUGUUGUUCCUCGAUGCCACACCGUUUAUCCUUUAAUAUCCAGAAAUCCAUUGAUUGCUAUUUUGAAUGAAUUCAAUGAACAUCCGCAGCCCUUUCUGGUAGUAAAUUCCAUAGAUUCACCAGUGAAUCCAAUUCCUGAACAGCCUAUCAUUUAUUCUCAAACUGUGACUGGUCCUCAAAAGAUCAUUUGGGAUGAGCAUCUCUCUUCAGCAGGCCUAUCCUAAAACAAUUUUGUAAAGAUUGAUAAGAUCCCCUCUUUCCCUUUGAAACUGAGAGAAUGGAGUGCUGGUCUGCUUAGCUCCUCAUCACAAACGCGCUAUUUCUAGAACCAGUCUAGUGUAUAUUCUGUGCCAAUCAAAUUGGUAUUCUGGCCUCAUCUGUUCAUAUCCCUAUCCAUUUAUAUCUCUUCAAAUGCCUUUUGAAAGUCAUCAUUUUAUCUGUUUCAGUAGCUUCCUCUGGCAGCAUUCCCAAUUCAGACUAUCCUCUGAGUGAAAAAGUUGCCCCCUAUUAAAUCUCAUCCCUCUCAACUUUAGUAUUACAAUCCUACCCAUGGAAUAGGUCAGUGAGUAUUCAUUUUAUCCAUAUCCCUCGUGAUUUUGUUUACUUGAAUAAAGUCAGCGUCCUCUGCUCCAAGGGAAAAAAAGUCCCAGCCUCUCUCUAUAACACCAGCAGAUCCAGGUAACUUCCCAGUAAAUCUUUGAUGCGCCUUUCCAAUUUAAUCACAUCCUGGAUGAACAGAACUGCACACAGUACUCCAAAUAUGUUCUUGCCAACAACAUAUAUUGCUACAACAUGAUGUCCAAACUGCAGUGUUCCCAAUGAAGGCAAGCAUGCCAAAUGCCUUCUACACCACCCUGUUACCAUUUUCAGAGAACAACGUACCUGUACCAGAUACCUCUGUUCUAUAACACUUUUGCAAGCUCUACCAUUUACUGUGCACGUUGUGCCCUGGUUUGAGAUACCAAAGUGCAAAACCUCAUCCAAGUCUGAGUUAAAUUCUAUUUGCCAUUCCUUUGGCCAUGUUCCCAUUGGGGUCAAGGGAUGGGAAUCGACAGUAAGGAGAAUGGAGGCAAUAAAUCAUAACAGCUAAUGCCUUUCUUCAGAACAACCUAUUCAUAUUAUUGUACAUCAGAUUUAUUUUUCCUACAAAAUGUCUACAUGCUCAUCGCAGUUCAAGGGGGCAAAUAUAUUGCUUCCAAAAGAAUGCUAACAAUUGCCUUAAACUUUGUGGGGAAUUGAAUAUUUGCCACCCAUCACAAGCAACCCCAGCAUUGAAGUGUUUAGUUGCAUUUCCUGUUGACUUCAAAUUUCAUCAAGACUUUUUUUAAACAAAAGUUGUGGUAGAGUGCAUUGUACUUUUCAUUGUUAACAUUUUAUUUGGCGGGGUGGGCAUAGUUGCAAUAUUUUAUUGCUUAUAAUACAACAGCUUAUAAUACAAGUAUGAAUGAUUUGUUCAACAAUGAGUCUGAAUGCUUCUGUUAUGUAUUUAAUAGCAAAGACAGACUGAAAAGAUUAAGCAGUUUUUCCCUGAUGGGGCUAGCUUUUAAAUUAUAACUGUAGACAAAUGUUCCAUUAUGUAGCUGGGAUUUUUAUCAGUCUUGCCACAACAGAAAAGCUUUGUUUAUAUGUUGAAUGUAUUUGGUUUCAGCAAGUUUCAAACAGAUGGGGGAACAGUAGACAUUGGCACAAAGCAGUUUGCACUCCUUCCACUCAUUAAUGUCAUGGUUCCACUGUAGAGAUUGAUCGCUGGAAGAGGCUGUUCUUUGUGCAUGCAUUUCAGUGAACUGAUACCAAUUGCAUUUUACAUUUAAUCGGGUCAUUUCUCUACUGAAAGGAAAUUUAAAUGAACAGAAGAGACCCUACUGCAUUUGAUUUAACAGAGUGUCAACACUAGUAAUGCAUUACUCUUCUCCAGUCCCAACACAAUGCUCCCAACAAAAUGCAGAAAUACGAGUUAAAUGGAGUCUUACCUAACCUUGCAGUUAGCUUCCUGCAGGAAUAAAUCUACGCAGAGGACAAUGGGAAACGAUUCUACCUGUGUUCAAUUUGCACACCAACAACAAAAGCACUUCACUUUUGCAGCACGGUCAUGUUUGUGAGUAGUUCCUAUUCAUCUUCAAUUGAUUUACUGAAGUUUAUAUGAGAAUGUCCCUUAUACUUAACAUCAGAUAUGGGACAAAACUCAUGGUUUACUGGGCAGAGGUAAUCCCACCCCUGAUGUGUUUCUGAGACUUUGACUAUCUUGCACCAGGUUUCUGGAGACAUUAGAAUGAUAUCACCAACUCUUUCUCUGAAUAAUUCUUAAAUCCAUUGCCAGGAUAAGCAAACUAUUGUUCUCCUCAGGCCCACAUCCACAGUAAUGAGGCCCCAAUAUACUCAUGUACAUAGGGGAGACUAUAUUGUUAGACUCAAUGCUAGACUCCUGAAAUAGACACUUUUCAUGACCAGCCAGAGAUUACCAGGCAAACUUAGAAUAAUGUUCAAAGGUAUAUUCAAGGUCUCUGUGAAGAAAUGCUCGGCGGCGCAGCAGAAGAGCUGCUGCCUCACAGCGAUAGAGACCGGGUUCGAUCCCAUUUUUAUUCCCCCUGCAUUUGCUUCAGAUUCCACCAGUGACCUACAUGCUGGGGGCAUCUAACUGUGACCCAUUAACUACGGGUGCUGUCUGUGUGGAGUUUGUACGUUCUCCCUGGUACCGCAUGGGUGUGCUCUGGAUGCUCUGGUUUCCUCCCACAUU